UUUAAAGCGAUGAUAAGAAGAGUAAACUGUUGCUUAAGGCUAUAGAGAAUCGGCGGUGGUGGAAAUCCGAUGCAAUAGGGCAGUUGAAGAACAUCUUAGAGGAUCUAACCCAAAUCUCUCGGGAGAAAGUAGACUUAGACGGAAUCAGCCCGUUAUCAGCUGAACAGUAUCGAUUGAUGAUCCGUACUGGAUUUAAGUGAGUAUUUACUAAUUAAGGUGGUACCACGGAAAUUAAACCUUCCGUCCUUCUG
rnacentral:ncRNA from 1 species